AGCAGUGUGGCUCAGUGGAAAGAGCACGGGCUUUGGAGUCAGAGGUCAUGAGUUCAAAUCCCAGCUCUGCCA
rfam:Ornithorhynchus anatinus chromosome X1, whole genome shotgun sequence.